GACGAACCGAGCGAACGUUGUUCGGAAUCACUGGGCUUAAAGGGCGCGUAGGCGGGCGGUUAAGUCUGCGGUGAAAUCCUCCAGCUCAACUGGAGAACUGUCGUGGAUACUGGCUGUCUCGAGGAAGGUAGGGGCGUGUGGAACUAUCGGUGGAGCGGUGAAAUGCGUUGAUAUCGAUAGGAACUCCGGUGGCGAAAGCGGCUCACUGGACCACAACUGACGCUGAGGCGCGAAAGCUAGGGGAGCAAACAGG
rnacentral:rRNA from 1 species